GCUCAGGACGAACGCUGGCGGCGUGCCUAAUACAUGCAAGUCGAGCGGACUUUUAAAAGCUUGCUUUUAAAAGUUAGCGGCGGACGGGUGAGUAACACGUGGGUAACCUGCCUGUAAGACUGGGAUAACUCCGGGAAACCGGGGCUAAUACCGGAUAACUUCUUUYCUCGCAUGAGGAAAGAUUGAAAGAUGGCUUUUCGCUAUCACUUACAGAUGGACCCGCGGCGCAUUAGCUAGUUGGUGAGGUAACGGCUCACCAAGGCGACGAUGCGUAGCCGACCUGAGAGGGUGAUCGGCCACACUGGGACUGAGACACGGCCCAGACUCCUACGGGAGGCAGCAGUAGGGAAUCUUCCGCAAUGGACGAAAGUCUGACGGAGCAACGCCGCGUGAGUGAUGAAGGUCUUCGGAUCGUAAAACUCUGUUGUUAGAGAAGAACAAG
rnacentral:rRNA from 1 species